rnacentral:rRNA from 1 species
UUUAUGGAGAGUUUGAUCCUGGCUCAGGAUGAACGCUGGCGGCGUGCCUAAUACAUGCAAGUCGAGCGAACAGAUAAGGAGCUUGCUCCUUUGACGUUAGCGGCGGACGGGUGAGUAACACGUGGGUAACCUACCUAUAAGACUGGAAUAACUUCGGGAAACCGAAGCUAAUGCCGGAUAACAUGUAGAACCGCAUGGUUCUACAGU